rnacentral:rRNA from 1 species
ACGGGGGGGGCAAGCGUUGUUCGGAAUUACUGGGCGGAAAGGGCUCGUAGGUGGCCAACUAAGUCAGACGUGAAAUCCCUCGGCUUAACCGGGGAACUGCGUCUGAUACUGGAUGGCUUGAGUUCGGGAGAGGGAUGCGGAAUUCCAGGUGUAGCGGUGAAAUGCGUAGAUAUCUGGAGGAAUACCGGUGGCGAAGGCGGCAUCCUGGACCGACAUUGACGCUGAGGAGCGAAAGCUAGGGGAGCAAACGGG